GAGACCAGAGAUCGAUGGUUUUAGAAGUGGGUGGAAGAUCUACGACCACCGAAUAGUUAGACGACUUUAGCAGAUGAUAUAGGACGUUAGUUAGGGGUGUGAACACCUCACAAUUUGACUCCAUUCAGAUAUUAAGAAGGAACUAAACGUCCAUUUUAGUACUGAUGAGGGGUUCAAGCAUUAUCGUCUGACGAACAGAACUAACAGGGAUUCGCGGAGGUUGUCGAAGUA